rnacentral:rRNA from 1 species
CUACGGGUUGCUGCAGUGGGGAAUAUUGCACAAUGGGCGCAAGCCUGAUGCAGCAACGCCGCGUGAGGGAUGAAGGCCUUCGGGUUGUAAACCUCUUUUAGCAGGGAAGAAGCGAAAGUGACGGUACCUGCAGAAAAAGCACCGGCUAACUACGUGCCAGCAGCCGCGGUAAUACGUAGGGUGCAAGCGUUGUCCGGAAUUAUUGGGCGUAAAGAGCUCGUAGGCGGUUUGUCACGUCUGCUGUGAAAAUCCAAGGCUCAACCUUGGACUUGCAGUGGGUACGGGCAGGCUAGAGUGCGGUAGGGGAGAUGGGAAUUCCUGGUGUAGCGGUGGAAUGCGCAGAUAUCAGGAGGAACACCAAUGGCGAAGGCACAUCUCUGGGCCGUAACUGACGCUGAGGAGCGAAAGCGUGGGGAGCGAACAGGAUUAGAUACCCCUGUAGUC